AGAAUCAACGCUGGCGGCGUGCCUAACACAUGCAAGUCGAACGAGAAAGUGGAGCAAUCCAUGAGUAAAGUGGCGCACGGGUGAGUAACACGUGACUAACCUACCUUUUAGUGGGGGAUAACCUAGGGAAACCUGGGCUAAUACCGCAUAAUACCUACGGGUCAAAGCAGCAAUGCGCUGAAAGAGGGGGUCGCGGUCGAUUAGUUAGUUGGCAGGGUAAUGGCCUACCAAGACUGUGAUCGAUAUCCGGCCUGAGAGGGCGCACGGACACACUGGAACUGAAACACGGUCCAGACUCCUACGGGAGGCAGCAGUGGGGAAUUUUGCGCAAUGGGGGAAACCCUGACGCAGCAACGCCGCGUGGAGGAUGAAGUCCCUUGGGACGUAAACUCCUUUCGAUGGGGAAGAUAAUGACGGUACCCAUAGAAGAAGCCCCGGCUAACUUCGCGCCAGCAGCCGC
rnacentral:rRNA from 1 species